GAUGAACGCUAGCGACAGGCCUAACACAUGCAAGUCGAGGGGCAGCACGGUGUAGCAAUACAUGGGUGGCGACCGGCGCACGGGUGAGUAACGCGUAUGCAACCUGCCUACUACAAGGGGAUAACCCGUUGAAAGACGGACUAAUACCCUAUAACACAGGGAAUCCGCAUGGAUAUAUUUGUUAAAGAUUUAUCGGUAGUAGAUGGGCAUGCGUUCCAUUAGCUUGUUGGUGAGGUAACGGCUCACCAAGGCAACGAUGGAUAGGGGAACUGAGAGGUUGAUCCCCCACACUGGAACUGAGACACGGUCCAGACUCCUACGGGAGGCAGCAGUGAGGAAUAUUGGUCAAUGGACGAGAGUCUGAACCAGCCAAGUCGCGUGAAGGAAGACGGCCCUACGGGUUGUAAACUUCUUUUGUAAGGGAAUAAAUAGUCUUACGAGCUAAGACGUUGCAGGUACCUUACGAAUAAGGAUCGGCUAACUCCGUGCCAGCAGCCGCGGUAAUCA
rnacentral:rRNA from 1 species